CAAAUAAGCAAAGCCCAGCGCCAUGCGCCACCGUUGCGCACCUAGCCAGAUCAGCCGGUAACCACCGGGGGAGAUGGAACUAGUCGCGCCGGCCACUGGUCUAGCGCUCACAAGCAGCUCUUGACGGCCACCAUUGACAGCAGCCGCAAGCAGCUCUAGACCAUCGUCAGCGACAGCGGCCGCAAGCAGCACCAGACACCACCACCCAUGAGCUAGCAGAGCCGGAUCUGACAUGACCACACCGGAUCGAGGGCCAUCAGGUCCGAUGAGGCAUGCUUGCUAGCCCACCCACGCAGCCACCGUGGGACCAAGCAGGGAAGAAAAGACGAGAGACGAAAGGAAAAAAGAAGAGUGCCUUGCUGCCGCCGUCCUCGCCGCCUCAUGGACUUCCGGCGGCGGCCAGGAGGUGCUCAAGCGAUGGCGGCUUCCAUUCCGCCCGUGCCGACCGAGAGGGGUGACGCGGGGGCCUGUUAGUUUCAUCAUCCAUAGUUCAACGGCUCUGUUUUCAUAAAUUGCUCUCGGUUUCAAAGAAAAAUGUUCUCCUAAUGAUUAAUUUUUUUAUUA